AACGAACGCUGGCGGCAUGCCUAACACAUGCAAGUCGAACGAAGUCUUCGGACUUAGUGGCGCACGGGUGCGUAACGCGUGGGAAUCUGCCCUUGGGUGCGGAAUAACUUCUCGAAAGGGAUGCUAAUACCGCAUAAUAGUCGUAAGACCAAAGAUUUAUCGCCCAAAGGAUGAGCCCGCGUAAGAUUAGCUAGUUGGUGGGGUAAAAGCCUACCAAGGCGACGAUCUUUAGCUGGUCUGAGAGGAUGAUCAGCCACACUGGGACUGAGACACGGCCCAGACUCCUACGGAGGCAGCAGUGGGGAAUAUUGGACAAU
rnacentral:rRNA from 1 species